rnacentral:rRNA from 1 species
UACGUAGGGUCCGAGCGUUGUCCGGAAUUAUUGGGCGUAAAGGGCUCGUAGGCGGUUCGUCACGUCGGGAGUGAAAACUCGGAGCUUAACUCCGAGCCUGCUUCCGAUACGGGCAGACUAGAGGUAGGCAGGGGAGAGCGGAACUCCUGGUGUAGCGGUGGAAUGCGCAGAUAUCAGGAGGAACACCGGUGGCGAAGGCGGGUCUCUGGGCCGAAACUGACGCUGAGGAGCGAAAGCGUGGGGAGCGAACAGG